rnacentral:rRNA from 1 species
AUACGGAGGGUGCAAGCGUUGUUCGGAAUCACUGGGCGUAAAGGGCGCGCAGGCGGUUUGGUAAGUCAGAUGUGAAAGCCCACGGCUCAACCGUGGAAGUGCAUUUGAAACUGUCAGACUUGAGUACUGGAGGGGAAAGUGGAAUUCCCGGUGUAGAGGUGAAAUUCGUAGAUAUCGGGAGGAAUACCGGUGGCGAAGGCGACUUUCUGGCUAGAUACUGACGCUGAGGCGCGAAAGCGUGGGGAGCAAACAGGAUUAGAAACCCUAGUAGUCC